GAUGAACGCUAGCGGGAGGCCUAACACAUGCAAGCCGAGCGGUAUUGUUUCUUCGGAAAUGAGAGAGCGGCGUACGGGUGCGUAACACGUGUGCAACCUGCCUUUAUCUGGGGGAUAGCCUUUCGAAAGGAAGAUUAAUACUCCAUAAUAUAUUGAACGGCAUCGUUUAAUAUUGAAAGCUCCGGCGGAUAGAGAUGGGCACGCGCAAGAUUAGCUAGUUGGUGAGGUAACGGCUCACCAAGGCGAUGAUCUUUAGGGGGGCCUGAGAGGGUGAUCCCCCACACUGGUACUGAGACACGGACCAGACUCCUACGGGAGGCAGCAAUGAGGAAUAUUGGUCAAUGGGUGCAAGCCUGAACCAGCCAUCCCGUGUGAAGGACGACUGCCCUAUGGGUUGUAAACUUCUUUUGUAUAGGGAUAAACCUACCCUCGAGAGGGUAGCUGAAGGUACUAUACGAAUAAGCACCGGCUAACUCCGUG
rnacentral:rRNA from 1 species